rnacentral:rRNA from 1 species
AUCGAACGCUGGCGGCAGGCCUAACACAUGCAAGUCGAGCGGAGCGGCGGACGGGGGAGUAAGGCCUAGGAAUCUGCACGGUGGUGGGGGAUAACGUCCGGGAACGGGCGCUAAUACCGCAUACUAGAAGAGGAGCCUAGGGUGGAUUAGCUAGUUGGUGGGGUAACGGCUUACCAAGGCGACGAUGCAUAGCUGGUCUGAGAGGAUGAUCAGUCACACUGGGACGGAGACACGGCCCAGACUCCUACGGGAGGCAGCAGUGGGGAAGAUUGGGCAAUGGACGAAAGUCUGACCGAGCCAUGCCGCGUGUGUGAAGAAGGUUUUCGGAUUGUAAAGCUCUGUUGGUAGGGAAGCGUUACCUACACAAUAAGCAACGGCUAACUACGUGCCAGCCGCCGCGGUAAUUC